rnacentral:lncRNA from 1 species
UGUCUCCUUUGUUCGCCCUCGUUGCGCAGUAGUCCUAGCGGCUUCUCUGUUCCGUUCCUGGGUCCAGCAGCUGUCACUCGUGUUGAGCUGCUUGAAAGGCCCACUCGGCGAGCUCGUAGGAGCUUGAGACCGUCGCCACCCCUCCGGUACGUGUCUCCUUUCCUUGGUUCGUUGUUUCGUACGUUCUUGCCUUGUUAGAACUUGGGAUUAUCUCCCUGGAGAUGAGGGUGGCGGGCGCCAUUUUAAGACACCCAAAGGUGCCGACCUAUUUAAAUAAAGCGGGGUGGGGGGUCGGUCAAAGGAAAACACAUUAGGGGGUUCGUUUCCUUGUAUGUCUCUCUUGAAAGUUUGGCCGUUGCCUGCUGGGGCGGGGGCGGGGGCGGAGGCGGAGGUCGGCGUUUUGUAGCUUGAGCGGGACGCGGAGCCACCGCGCCACCGCGGUACCUGCAUUGGGAUGGCGCUGACGCUAACGAUGGCAUGUGGACUUCCAUGCGGCCUCCUUGUUAAUUGGCAGCCCUGGAGAGGAAGCCCUUGGAAUUUUCCCAGCCAGUAUUGAUGGUAAAAGUUAGUUUCCUGACCAGUGUCAGUUGCUCUGGGCUGAAUCCAAGUGUCGCCAUUUUGUCGUUUCCACGCGGUUUUUAAUGACUAGUCUUAAUUGGGUUCCGUCGCAAUUGUAGCGUGUUGAGUGUUACAGUGUGCGCUUCUGUGUGCUGUUAUUUAAUAUGAAAUGAUGUUGACACUUUGCCUUUUUUUUCCCCCCUUAGGCAGUAACCUUUUUGGCGGGUGGGGGCUGGUGGAGAUGAGGCGGAACUUGGCGCAAACUUAAAAGAUACCUGCUUAGAUUUAGUAACAUACUAAUGAGAGAACGGGUAGCCCUUGAAUGAGGGUUUGGUGUUGAAGUCUUGCCGUCUGGUUAGUGACCUUGAACUAGCCAUUAGUCUUAAAAUCCAUCACUGGGAGAGGGGUGUGAUUGAAUCUGUAAAAGGCAUCAGACCUAGGAUUAAAACUAAAAUUGGCUUUUUCAAAUGUUAAGUACCUGUUAACUCGUUAAAAACAGCCAAGGGGGGGCUGGGAUGUGGCUCAAGCGGUAGCGCGCUCGCCUGGCAUGCGUGCGGCCCGGGUUCGAUCCUCAGCACCACAUACAAACAAAGAUGUUGUGUCCGCCAAAUACUAAAAAAUAAAUAUUAAAAAAUUCUCUCUCUCUCUAAAAAAAAAAAACAGCCAAGGAAGAUUAGGGUGAAAGUGAACUUUGUGUCGGCCCUUUCAACUACUUUAAUGUAGAAUUGCACUAUUACCACUUAGUUUAAAUUGGCUUCCUACUGUGUUGGAAGCUUAUCGUUGUCUUUAGUUAUUAAAGAAUAAAGGUUUUAGUAAAACAAUCCAAACCACAUUUAAAGGUGUCCCAUAAACUUGGGGAACUUCUUCUGGGAGGUAAUACUAUUCUUUUUCAGCAGACUCACCAGGGGGGAAAAAUGGUUGAAGCAGAUCGUCCAGGAAAGCUCUUCAUUGGUGGGCUUAAUACGGAAACAAAUGAGAAAGCCCUUGAAGCAGUAUUUGGCAAAUAUGGACGAAUAGUGGAAGGUGAGUUAUAUGAAUGUACAUACUGGGAUAUUAUAAUUAAAAGAUAAGCUGUGAUGAAUUUGAUUACAUUGAUCAUCUGACAUGAUGUUGUAUUUUUGUCCUCUAAGAAGUUCUGAGCUUUCUCCUCAAGUAGAUAGAUAGUUUCAUUGUUUGAUUCGAAUUAGUGACACUUUUUCUUAAACUUUGUUAAAGUGCUCUUGAUGAAAGAUCGUGAAACCAACAAAUCAAGAGGAUUUGCCUUUGUCACCUUUGAAAGUCCAGCAGAUGCUAAGGAUGCAGCCAGAGACAUGAAUGGAAAGGUGAGAUUGCACAAUGAAUACCAUGUAUCCUAGUGCAUAAUAUAGCAUGUGCAAUCCCAACUCUGGUUCAUGGAAGCUCUUGAAUUAUUUUGGUUUUGAAUAUAUACCUCUCCAAGAUCUUCUCACCAUAGCCAAUUUGUAGUACUCUUUUGAAGUAUAUCAUGAGGUGUUUUUUUUUUUUUUUUUUUUGUGGUGCUAGGCAUGCCAAACAAGUGCUCUACCACUGAGCGACAUGCUCAACUGAAGCAUAUUAUGAAAUUCCAGGGUCAAAUGUUGUAGACAAAGUUAUAGAUUGUACCCUUUCUUCCCCCUUGGAUUGGACUUAUGCAUGCUAGUCAAGUGCUCCACCUUGAGUUACAUCCCCAACCAUGGAUUGUGCUCUUAAGUGUUUCUCAGUUCAGAGUAGCAUGUAAUGUUACAGAUAAGCAUUGUAUUUUAUCUUGGGAUCCCUAAACCAUAGCUUGAUGGCUUGGCCUUUAGCAUUGUUUAUUACUUUUGCUUUUUUUUUUUUUUAGGUGGGGGGUACUGGGGAUUGAACCCAGGGGGUGCUUUACCACUGAGCCAUAUCCCCAGUUCUUUGUAUAUUUUAUUUUGAGACUGGGUCUCACUAAGUUGCUAGGGCCUCCGUAAAUUGCUGAGGCUGGCUUUGAACUCAAUCCUCUUGCCUCAGCCUCCUGAGCUGCUAGGAUUACAGACAUGUGACACGAUUCCUGGUUCCUUUUUAUUUUUUGAUACAAGGUCUCACCAAGUUGCUGAGGCUGGCCUCAGCUUGCUAUCCUGCUUCAGUUUCCUGAGUUAACCUGGAGUUGCUGGGAUUAUAGGCAUGUGCCAUUGUACCUAAUCUGGUUAUUAGUUUUGAAAAUGAGCUGAUAUACCUACCUAGCAUUGCUUUAAAUUUUACCAAGUGCACUGAGUUUACUUUAUGCUUUGUAUUCUCAGUGACUGGGUAGACAUUUUAAGUAAGUGGAAAAGUCAUUCUUAGAAUUACUACUUCUAGGAUUUUACUUAGACUAAUUGAUGAACAAAAUUAACUGUAUUUUGGUGUCAAUAGUAUAUAGUGGACCUGUAAGUUCUUUUAAAAUUAUGAUGCAAUUUAACCGUUUUGAUUUUUGUUUAAAGUCCUUAGAUGGAAAAGCCAUCAAGGUGGAACAAGCUACCAAACCAUCAUUUGAAAGUGGUAGACGUGGCCCACCUCCACCUCCAAGAAGCAGAGGCCCUCCCAGAGGUCUUAGAGGAGGAAGAGGAGGAAGUGGAGGAACUAGGGGACCUCCCUCUCGUGGAGGGCACAUGGGUAAUAAUUUAGGUGGAUCUUUGGCUUGGUGUAUAAGAACUGCAAAUCCACGACAGUGUAUACUUUAAGCCCUCGUUGAAAGGCUCUCGCCUUUGAAAUUAAGAAAGAAUAUAUGCUUACCUCUUGAAGUGAUAAUGACUCGAGGAAAACAUGGAAGGUGUCCUAAGUUAAAUGAAUGUUGAUUUAAAUUAUAGAUCACAUUAUUUCUUACCUUAUUACUUAAUGUGUAAGAAAAGUACUUAAAAAAUCUUUUUCAAGAUUCAGUUUGAUACAUUGAGCAUAUGAAAGCAAAACAAUGUGUGUUCUUUGAAAUAACUUUAGAGACUACCCUUCAUUUUCCUUAUUUUCCCAGUCUACAUGACUUCAUGCUUGAUAUUGUGCAAUUGAAAAUAUAAGUUAGACCCCUCAAAGAGAAAAGAUAAAGAGAAGGUAGUAUCAUCAAAUCAUAGAAUUCUUUGUUUUGUUUUGUUUUUUAAAUUCUUGUGUUAACAUAUUUUUUUCUCCUUUCUAAUGUAGAUGAUGGUGGUUAUUCCAUGCAUUUUAACAUGAGUUCUUCCAGGGGACCUCUUCCAGUAAAAAGAGGACCACCACCAAGAAGUGGGGGUCCUCCUCCUAAAAGAUCAGCUCCUUCAGGACCAGUUCGCAGCAGCAGUGGAAUGGGAGGAAGAGGUAAAUGUUGCAUGCAUGACAAUCUGUGCUGUCACCAUAGCACUAAGAAUUAAGAAGUAACUCUUAAAAAUGACCCUUAAGACUUGUUCAGGAAUUCCAGGUGAUCUAGUAACAUGAAGCUAAUGAGUACUCAAAAGAUGUGAAUAACAUUUCUUGAUCUGUGUACGUAUUAUGUUUAAGUCACUACUUUUCAUUGUCUGAAUAUAAUAAGUUCACAUUUUAUUUAACUUUUACCAGGCUACAUUUAAAAAAAUUAUUAUUUUUCCUUAAGCUCCUGUAUCACGUGGAAGAGAUAGUUAUGGAGGCCCACCUCGAAGGGAACCCCUGCCCUCUCGUAGAGAUGUUUAUUUGUCCCCAAGAGAUGAUGGAUAUUCUACUAAAGACAGGUAACACAAAAAAAUGCAGUUUUUUCAUUAAGGUUAAAGGAGAGCUCAUCAAAAGCAUAGACCAAAUUACUUUUGUUUCUAUAGCUAUUCAAGCAGAGAUUACCCAAGUUCUCGUGACACAAGAGAUUAUGCACCACCUCCAAGAGAUUAUACUUACCGUGAUUAUGGUCAUUCCAGUUCACGUGAUGACUAUCCAUCAAGAGGCUAUAGGUAAGUGAGUGCUUCCAUGGCUCAAGUAUAAUAUUUUAUUGUAAAAGUUGGUGCUCUGGGACUCAAAGGUUUUUCUCUUUAAUUUAGUGAUAGAGAUGGAUAUGGUCGUGAUCGUGAUUAUUCAGAUCAUCCAAGUGGAGGUUCCUACAGAGAUUCAUAUGAGAGUUAUGGUAAGAUACUGUUAAGAGUCUUGAGUUUCAGCAGCUUGAGUUUUUAGGUUCAUGAGCCAGUUUAAUAGGCUGCGUGGUGCUUGCUUUUAAAGGGACGUUUGCUUGCUUUUUUAAAGGGUUAACUAUCAGCUGGGCUUUUCCUAGUUUUGUGAGGGGCUUUUGUUCUUUCCUAAGUUUUUUUUUUUCUUUUGAGGCUGUUCGCUUGCUUUGGAGGGGAUUUUGCUUGCUUAAAUUGGCAGCCUUAUGUGUUUUCCCCCAACAGUGAAAAUACAAUUUAAAAAUUUUAUUAACAAGAUCAAAUGUUUACCAUUGCAAUAUGAAGGAAACUCUACAGUUCAAAAUUGCAACUUAUCACUGGAAAGUGGCUGAGUGUCUACUAUAAAAUAACAAGCUGGAAUAUCCUCUUGAAAUACACACCGUCUUCAGUCUUUUCAAACAAACAUUAAAAUCAAUCCAUUUCCAUAUCUCAGCAGAUGAGCAAAUCCUUGUUAUGGCCAGCAAUGGUAGAGUUUAAAACCUCCCAGUUGAGAAAGUAAACUUUUAAUACAAGAAUUCUGUAAAUUCAGAUUUAAAUGUUGUAUAUAUACAAUUUAUAGUGUUGCCAUAUUACCUGACCAUUGACCCUGCAGGUAACUCACGUAGUGCUCCACCUACACGAGGGCCCCCGCCAUCUUAUGGUGGAAGCAGUCGCUAUGAUGAUUACAGCAGCUCACGUGACGGAUAUGGUGGAAGUCGAGACAGUUACUCAAGCAGCCGAAGUGAUCUCUACUCAAGUGGUCGUGAUCGGGUUGGCAGACAAGAACGAGGGCUUCCCCCUUCUAUGGAAAGGGGGUACCCUCCUCCACGUGAUUCCUACAGCAGUUCAAGCCGCGGAGCACCAAGAGGUGGUGGCCGUGGAGGAAGCCGAUCUGAUAGAGGGGGAGGCAGAAGCAGAUACUAGAAACAAACAAAACUUUGGACCAAAAUUCCCCGUUCAAAGAAACAAACAAAAAGUGGAAACCAUUCUGUCAUAACUACCCAAGGACUACUAAAAGGAAAAAUUGUGUUACCUUUUUUAAAUUUCCUGUUAAGUUCCCCUUCAUAAUUUUUUAUGUUCUUGUGAGGGAAAAAAAGUAAAACAUGUUUAAUUUCAUUUGAUUUUGAGUUGCUUUCAACAAGCAAAUGUUAAGUGUGUAAGACUUGUUGUACUAGUGUUGUAAUUUUCCAAGUUAAAGUGUCCCUGAAGGCCACUUCCUAUCCAGUUUUACCCAGUAAAUGAGGCAAGCAAUUCUAAGAUCUUCCACAAACAUCUAGCCAUCUAGAUGUCCAUUGAUCUCCACUGAGAGAUGAAUCGUUCUGCCUAUACAAAAAAGCUAGCUAAUAGGGGGUGGUUGGGGUAUGCUACUCUUAGGAUUUCAGGGUGUCUUCCAACUGAAAUCUCAAUGUUCUCAGUAUACAAAACCUGAGAUCAGAUAUCUAUGUAAGGAAAGUACUAUUCACCCAGUAAAUCCCCCUUCCCCCCAAAAAAAACCAAAUGGAUAAUGCUGGCCAUAUUUUGCCUUUCUGACAUUUCCUUGGGAAUCCGCAAGAACCUCCCUUUCCCCCUCCCCCAAUAAGACCAUUUAAGUGUGUGUUAAACAACUACAGAAUACUAAAUAAAAAGUUUGGCCAAAACCAACCAUGAAGCUGCAAACGAUGCUUGCUCUUACUGUUUCAAAUUUUUGCAACUCUGUAGUGUCUCACUUUUAAAGGAACAGCUUGAUUGCAAAGGAGAAAAUAGAUAAGCAAUGAAGUUAUCUCCAACUUCCUAAAGGCUUAUGACUUCUAAAAAGUGAAUCUAUCAGCAUUCCACAUCAGAUUUAAAGCACCAAAUGCCUGUGAAACAGCAAAGAUGGUAAGCAAAGCAAACUAGUUUUUCCGUCUAAGUCGAAAUUGAACACUUACCUUCCUCAUAGUACAGUGAAACAUACUGUACCUCAUGGCAAUGGAAAUGUGCCUUCUAGAUUAAAAAAAAAAACCUUUUGGAAAAGCAAAUGUUCAAUAGCAUAUUAGAAGUCCUCCAAAUUCAACACUUGGAUUUUUUUUUUUAAAGCAUGUGUGACACUUAAAGGCCUUAAUACAGCUGUUUACCAGUACCAAUCUGGGGCUUGGGAGGGGGUAUUUUUUAAAGUAUUUUUGAUGAAGACCUUUAAACAUGCUUCAUAUGUUUUUAACAUUUUUUUUUUUCAAAUUAGUCUUAGUCAAUAUAAGAAAUGGCUUAGGUUUGGGGUCCCCUCUCUUACCCCUGUAAGCCAUUGCAAACUUGACCUUUAGUUGGAUGCCUGACUUGUUUUUAGUUCUAUGAAACUACACUGUAUGGAGAAAAUCUAUUGCAAGUGGUCUUUAAAAAGCAAAACCUGAGGCAGCAUGACCCAGGUCCAGCCAUGAAGUUGAAAAAGAUGCUCUUGAAUAUAGUAAACUUGAAGACCUCCAACUAAAAAUCCUUAUACGCACUUAUUCCUUCAAAUAAAUGUUUUGUCCGUUCAACUUAUGGAUUUAACGUGGCAGUGCACCAUUGGAACAGAAUGAGAAUCCAUAAGCCAUGCAACUUAACCAUUUAAGCCAUUCCAGUCCAUCCCAAGCCAGUGAAUCUUCCACUACUUAAGAGAACUAGUAGAACAUGAAAUACAUUAAUCUGGAAGUCUGAACUUGCCUUUCUGGAAAGAGGGCAGUUAUAGGCAAGUUUUAAAGUUUCCUUAAGAGAGAUAACUAGUUUUCAUCUGUUUAAUUUUUGCAGGUUGAGGACUUAUGGUCAUUGUGGUCAUGGAGUGCUGAUUUAUUCACAAUAGAUAAAGCUGGCAGCAGGAGAAAUCAAAUGCUAAGGUAAGUUUUGAAAGCACUGGCCUUUCAAGGUUUAAAUAGUAUUUGUAGUUUUGCCACUGUCAAGCUGUGGUGUUGGCAAGUUUUUUUUUUUUUUUUUUUUCCUGAUCCACACUUCAUCUGCAAAAGGGGAUAUAAUAUACAACUCUUGGAAAUUAGGUUAGAUUAUUUAACGUGUGUUAUCUGGCACAUCCAUUUUUUUUAAAGAGAAUUUUAAUAUUUAUUUUUUAGUUUUUGGCGGACACAACAUCUUUGUUUGUAUGUGGUGCUGAGGAUCGAACCUGGGCCGCACGCAUGCCAGGCAAGCGCGCUACCGCUUGAGCCACAUCCCCAGCCCUGGCACAUCAAUUUUGAAUGUAGAGGGAGGUUAUAUAGGUAUAUUUCCAGUAAUAAUACUAUUAGUCAUGCAAUAUUCUUGGCUGUUUAAAACCAAUUGCAAAUAUCUUUUCAUAUUGCAAGAGUUCUCUUGACAGGAUCUGUGUAUACAGGUAAUACUUUGGUAUGUGAGCAGACUUUACAUGAAGUUUGGGCUUCAGUGAAUUUUCUCAGUGCUUGCUUAUUUGUAUAGCUAUAAUACAAAUUGACUAAAUGGAGAGUUAUUGAUAUCAAUUAUAAGAAAAAGUAUGUAUUUAGGAAUGAUGGGGGGUGUUGGGGUACUAUGCAGUAUAAAACAAAUGCUUUACCUUGUAACUUGAUCCCAUGCUUUUUUACAGAGUUGUUGAAGCAGAAGAAUGCUGAUUGUCGAUCAGUCACAGCAGUCGCAUAAGCAGUGCUCGUCAGAAUUGGUUUGGUGCAGGCAAUAGAUUUUUGUCUUCAAGGGUUCUUGUGGAUCUGAGGAAGGCAUUAGUGUUGGUUAACACUCUUAACUAGGGAGUGGUAGUUACUUAAAAUUGACCAAAUGGAGAAAGGGAAAUAAAGAAAUUGGCAAGUGGAGGUACUCAGGAAGUUCUUGUGGCUAUUUAUGUAGAGUAUAGCUUUGGCUUUCAUUUUGUUCAGCUGAAGCAACUCUGCAAUUUAGAAUUAAGUAUCACUGAAUUUCAGAAAGUUGAGUUAGGGGCUGAGGAUGUAGCUCAGUGGUAGAGCACCUGCCUAGCAUGCCUGAAGGCCCUGGGUUCAUCCCUAACACUGCAAAAAAAAAAGUUGAAUCAUGAUAGGCAUUAAGUGGUAACUUGUAACUCUCUUUCAAGUAAUAUCUUUAUUAUUAUUUUUUUUUUCAGCAAGUGAAACUUAUUCUGGCAUUAGCUUAUCAGGAAUGAGGGUUCAGUUUUACAGCAAAACUAAAGCAAGGAGUAACAUGGGGAAAAUGAAAGUAACAACUGGAAACAUUGCUAGAGUGGUGGAAAGCACACUUGAAACUGGAAACAAAUUGGUCACUUGGUUAUUGUAUCAUUUUAUAAGCUUACUUUACCCACAGCUCCCAUUCUUGGAAACAAAUCAUGGUAAAACCAGUUUAUUGCUUUGGAGACUAGAGCCAAUAGUUUAAGUAUUAAUGUUCUCAAAACAGAGUUGUUGCAUUAGAGGAAGCAGCUCAACUUCUGAGAAUUUUUGCAUAGUAUAAUACUAUCACAUUUAACAACUGUGAUUCAGGAAAAUAAAUUUUAACCCUCAUUGGUCACAUUCCUAAGUCAUAGACCAUGAGGAUACUGACCAAUUAAGUAGUUGCACUUGAAUAGCUAUCUUAGCUCAAGUCUUCCAUAAUCUAAUUACUUGAGUUGGUGCUUCUGUGAGGACUUUUUUGGCUCUUGAGAUUUUAUUUAGAUUUCUUGAAGACAGUGUAGAAUAGACUAAUUGUAGUAUGAAUACUAAAUUCAGAGUAAGGAGUAUGCUUAAAUUACCAGAUACUUUUUUAACAGAUAACUUAAAGACCCAGAAGGCUUAGUUUUUCCAUUAGUAAAAGAGUUGGUCUUGAUUCAUUUUACUUUAUAUUGGUUGUAAAAGAAACGGAAUGAUAAAAUGUUUUCCUUGUUUGACUGGUAGUUGAAUAUAGAACUUAGGUAUUAUAGAUCAUUUUCACUUUUUGGAAUGUUUUGUAUUGAGACAAUAAAACUUAAACGUGCAUCUUUUUUGUGGCAAUGGGUUCUUUUUUCCUUUUUUUUAAAACCUUUUUGAAAUUAGAAAUUAUUUAGGCUUUGAAGUAUUUUUCUUUAAAAAGAAAAAGUCCCGCUUCACUCACAUUAGUUUUGACAUACUUCUGGCACUUGAUAUAUUGAGUCACUGAUUUGGCCAGCUUCUGCAACUAGGUAGCUGUCUUUAUUGGGGAGUGAACUUAGAUGUACAUCAAGGUAAUUAAUACAAUGAGGCAAUUCAGAUGAUUUCAUUUAAUUUUCGCCCCCUAAAUUUAGUGGGAGCAAUCGUACCUAAGAAUUGGAGACUAACAUAUUAAUAAUUAUUUCUUUUACCUCUGAUUUGCUUUUAAAUAUCAAGAGGAAAAGGUUGUAGCAAUGAAUCCAAAGCACUUUAGACCAAAGUCUGUCUUAGUGAUGCUGUUGACCCAUAUGUGCUUUACCACUGAGCUGCAUCUUUAGUUUUUGUUUUAUUGUCUAGCCUGACCUUGAACGUGUGAUCCUGCCUGGGCCUCCCAAGUCAGAUUAUCAAUGUGCACCAUCAUACCCAGCUUAUUAAAUAUACAUUUGGCUAAUGGAUGUUGGCACCUAAAUGGUGACAUUUGUGUUAUGAAGCUAAGUUGAAUGACAGCCCCAAGUAAAUUAUCAUGGGGUUUAUACCAGUUUCAGGAAAAAAGCCUAUCCAUCCUAUCAGUUCUUUAGAAACCUUAAUAACCAUUUCAGUAUUUAUGAAUUUCAGGAUAAAAUUUAACUCAUGUCCCAUCAUUCCCUUUAUGGACCACCUAAAGAUCUUAAAUUGACCAACAAAUAUACCACUUAGAGUGACUUUGAAAUAUUUUUAAGAGUUUUUUUUUUUUUUUUUUAAAUGUACUGGAGGUUUAACCUAGGAAUUUGCUCAUACUAGGCAAUAGUUCUAUUUUGAGAAAAUAGGUGAACAAUUAGUGAUUAUAUAAUUAAUGUUAAUUAGUUCAAGAUUAUUUCCAACCUAUUUUAAUGCUUGCUUUGAAAUAUUUUCAAACUUAAGAAAAUACUGCGUGUAUUGUUGUGAGGAAAAUGCAUAUGCUCUUAUAAAGAUGGAAACCAUUGCCAUUCCAGAAAGUUAACCUUCUGGCCCUUCUCAGAUAAUUCCUGCCUUCAUCCUUAAAAGAUGCUAUUUUUUUCCCCUCUAAUAUCUACACAUUGGUCUUAUCUCUUAGAACAUUAAAUAAAUGCAAUUAAUCAUGGGACACCUUGUAAAGCUUUCUGGAGAGGAUAUCAGUAGUUUUUAUUGAUAAGAAUGAGAACUUAAAAUUAUUUAUUUAUGAUAAAAACCUGGGCUUUUUCUAGUUUAGGGACUAUUAGGAAUAUAAAGUUGCUAUGAAUUUUUCAGUACUGGAAUUUGAACCCAGGGGCAUUUGACUAUUGAGCUACAUCCUUAGCCCUUUUAUAUCUUGAGAGGCAGUGUUCCCUAAAUUGCCCAGUAUGUGCUUGAACUCUUCCUGAGUAUCUGGGAUUACAGGCAGGUAUUACCUUGGCUGGCAAUACUUAUUUUUUAAAUUAAUGAGGAUUGAACCAAGGGAUGCUUUACCACUGAGCCCACAACCCCAGCCCUUUAAAUUUUUUGUUGUUUUGAGAUGGCCUUGUGAAAUUGGGGCCUCACUAAAUUGCUGACGGUGACCUCAAACUUGUGAUCCUCCUUUCUUGGCCUCCUGAGUGACUGGGAUUAUAGGCACCCAGCCUGGCUACGUUUUAAAAAUAUAAUACACAUUUAUUAUUAAACAUAACAUAAAUUAUCAAAAUAAUUAUGGCAGAAUACACAGAUCUCAAGUGUGCAGUUGGAUCAGUCUUGAAUAAAAUUUCUCAUUUAGAUUAAAAUACAAAAUAUCCCUUAAUUCCCAGAAAGUUACUGUGUCCCUUCCCAGUUAGUAGUAAUACUUCCCAACCCCAGGGAAGCAACACUGACCUGGUUUUAUUAUAGGAUAAUCUUGCAUAUUUUAAUAAUUUAACAUUUUUGGUCUAGCUGCCUUGAGCAUAUUUUUGAGAUUUGUUUAUGUGGUUGCACGUAUCUGUAGAUUUUUGUUUUCUGUUUUUGCUGUGCUGGGGUUUGAAUCCAGUCCUUGUGCAUACUAGGCAGAUGCCCUGCUACUGGGCUAUCCCCCCAGCAGUUCAUUUUUCAUUGUUGAGUAAAAUUUCAGUGUAUGAAAUAUACAUCUAUUCUAUUGAUGGAUAUAUGGACUGUUUGGUUUUCUUGGAUAUUAAUAGUGCUGUGACUUCUUGUAUGUCUUGGAUGUAUAUUUUCAUUUCUUUUGAAUAAAUAUUUAUUCAAGUUAAAGUGAUGGGGUGAUAGAAUAGACAGUAAUAUUUAAUUUUAAGAAACUGCAAAAUGGUUUCCUAGUGGUUGUACAUUUUAUGCCCUCAGCAGUUUAUGAGAAUUUUGUUUGUUCAACAAUAACCUUUCUCCAACAUUUGCUGUGAUGCUGAACACUUUUUUAAAAAUAAACUUUUGGGAUAAUUUUUUAAAUUUUCAGAAAAGUUGUAAAGAUAGUGUUUCUGUAUAUGUUUCACCCAGUUUCCCCUGAUUUUAUUUUUUAACCCCCAAUUUUAAUGUUAUGUGACUGCUAUAUUUGUCAAAACUAAGAGUGUAACAUUGGUACAUUACUGUUAACCCUACUUUUUGAUUCCAUGUUUUCUAUUGUUCUCUUUCUGUUUCAGGAUCCAACCCAUUAUCUCACAUUGCAUUUUAUCCUGGGCAAUACCUCAUACUAUUAAGCCAUUUGUAUAUCUUUCAUAAAGUGUCAGUGUUUUGUCCAUUUUAAAAGUUGGAUUGUGGAUUGCCUGUUUUUUUAAAUGAAUUUUUUUUUGCAUAUUCUGGAUUAUAAAUUGUCAGAUACAUGUGUUGUGAAUAUCUCCUGGUUUGUCUUGCCUGUUCUCAUUUUUCUUGCAUAAAUGAAAUCUUUUAAAAAAAAUUAGUGGUUCCUGUUUCCUGUGACCUAUCAAGGCUGUCUACUUCAUGGUCAUGAAGAUUUCUUCUAGAAAUUUUGUAGUUUUUGCUUUUAUGCUAAAGCUCCAGUACAUUUUGAAUUCAUUUUUAACUGUGUGAGAUAAGAACUGAAAAUCAUUUUUCCCAACUAUAGUUACCCAUUUAUUCCAGCGUCUUUUGUUGAAAACUACCCUUCCAUUGAAUUACCUCAGAAUCUUAGUAGGUCCCAUAUAAACCUGUGUCCACUACUGUACUUCACAAUGGAUCCGUACUGUCUUUUUAGCUUGACUACUGUAGUUUUACAAUAAACUCUAAAGACAAUUUUUA